GAUGAACGCUGGCGGCGUGCCUAAUACAUGCAAGUCGAGCGAACGGACGAGAAGCUUGCUUCUCUGAUGUUAGCGGCGGACGGGUGAGUAACACGUGGAUAACCUACCUAUAAGACUGGGAUAACUUCGGGAAACCGGAGCUAAUACCGGAUGAUAUUUUGAACCGCAUGGUUCAAAAGUGAAAGACGGUCUUGCUGUCACUUAUAGAUGGAUCCGCGCUGCAUUAGCUAGUUGGUAAGGUAACGGCUUACCAAGGCGACGAUGCAUAGCCGACCUGAGAGGCGGAUCGCCCACAUGGGAACGGGGACACGGUCCAGACUCCUACGGGAGGCAGCAGUAGGGAAUGUUCGGCAAUGGGCGAAAGCCUGACGGAGCAACGCCGCGUGAGUGAUGACGGUCUUCGGAUCGUAAAACUCUGUUAUUGGGGAAAAACAUAUGUGUAAGUAACUGUGCACAUCUUGACGGUACCUAAUCAGAAAGCAACGGCUAACUACGUG
rnacentral:rRNA from 1 species